ACACUGAACCACAGCCUGACACUUAAUGGAGACCCUCACAGGCAGGAAAGACACUCAGGGAGAGAUCGACUACCUGAGAACAGUCACACACGUCACACGUGCAUGUGUGAGAAAAUCAAUCGAAUGAAGCCGAGCGAAGCUCCAAAGUACAAUAAACAAAACUAAAGCUCUCUGAUCAAUAAGCGGGAGCGGAGCUGCGUGCAGAGAGCGAGCUGACAGGCGGUGGGAGGGUGUAAGUUGAUUAUCUGCGAGCUCGGGGAUUAUCCCUCGUCAUUCUUCCUCUGUGGUGAACCCUCAUCACCUGGAGAAGACGUCACCCAACACACAGAGCUCACCUGCACAGACUGCUAUCAAGGAUUCAUCAUCUGAGCAAGGCAGUGUGUUUGUCAGUCAUAUCACAGAGAGCACAGCUGUCCCAAACCUGCCAGCGUCACCUGACAUCUUCAUCCGGGCAGCCUCCACCCGAAACCCUCCACCCAUCCCAGUCACCUUGAUCAGGAGGGAGAUCACAUAUCAGGGACCAGUGAAGCUCUUCCUGACUGCAAAGAUUCUGUGGAUAUGACUAUUCUGUUUAAUUAUAUUUUAAUUCUUUUGAACUUUACCAAUAAAAAUCAUAAAAAAUUAAUAAAAUAUGAAUAAAAUAAAAAAGAAAUGAAAAGGAAGGAUCCAUUGGCAAAUAAUCUCACCAUAUGAAAAUGUAUAAAAAUGGAAAAUUUUCAUUGUGUAAUAAUAAGAAUAAGUGUUUUACUGUCAGUUUCAUGGGAGUAAAUACAGUUUCUCUACAGGGAAAUAAGCCAUGUGUUUGUGUUCACUGCUGCAGUGAACUGUUAGGACCAUGUUUGAUGACAUCAUGUCACAUGGGCACAGAGAGCAAUGUUUAGUCUCCUCACAACUACAGCUACAGCUGCUGUUGCUGGUGUCACAGGGUCAGGCCGACUACUACUAAUAAACACAAAGGACAGCUGAGGCUGAGAGUAAUAUGCUUACAUUUACAGGUAUUUCCUUGUAGACCAAAGUAUUCAGCCAGUUUGAUUUAUCUAGAUGAGAAGGUGAAGCUCCAUCCAGUGUAAAGGUCUGUGUGAUUAUAGAUCAGGUCUAGGUUCUAUAUUAUAUAUAUAUUUUAUAUAUCAGGGCUUCUGGAACUUUGUGAUGUCAUAACAAAGCAGUCACCAAGCCCCGCCCAC